rnacentral:rRNA from 1 species
GGGAAACUGGGUCUAAUACCGAAUAUACCCUGCUGGUCGCAUGGCCUGGUGGGGGAAAGCUUUUGCGGUGUGGGAUGGGCCCGCGGCCUAUCAGCUUGUUGGUGGGGUGAUGGCCUACCAAGGCGACGACGGGUAGCCGGCCUGAGAGGGUGACCGGCCACACUGGGACUGAGAUACGGCCCAGACUCCUACGGGAGGCAGCAGUGGGGAAUAUUGCACAAUGGGCGCAAGCCUGAUGCAGCGACGCCGCGUGAGGGACGACGGCCUUCGGGUUGUAAACCUCUUUCAGCACAGACGAAGCGCAAGUGACGGUAUGUGCAGAAGAAGGACCGGCCAACUACGUGCCAGCAGCCGCGGUAAUACGUAGGGUCCGAGCGUUGUCCGGAAUUACUGGGCGUAAAGAGCUCGUAGGUGGUUUGUCGCGUUGUUCGUGAAAACUCACAACUCAAUUGUGGGCGUGCGGGCGAUACGGGCAGACUGGAGUACUGCAGGGGAGACUGGAAUUCCUGGUGUAGCGGUGGAAUGCGCAGAUAUCAGGAGGAACACCGGUGGCGAAGGCGGGUCUCUGGGCAGUAACUGACGCUGA